GACAGAGAGAGAGCUCUUUCUCGAUUCGGUGGGUGGUGGUGCAUGGCCGUUCUUAGUUGGUGGAGCGAUUUGUCUGGUUAAUUCCGAUAACGAACGAGACUCUAUCCUGCUAAAUAGGUGGCGGGUUUCUAUGCCCUGAGUCGGCGGCGCGGGCGCAAGUCCGUACCGUCGUCGAAGGGAAACUUGGGUGCGGCGGCCGACGGGAUCAGGGCUCGGUGUGUGUCGGUGUCGGGCGGCGUGGGUAAAACCGCGUCGUUCGGUGCCGAUGCGCGCCGGACUCCCCCGUUGUAACCGCCGUACUCGCGCCCGUCACGUCUCUUCUUAGAGGGACAAGCGGCGUCCAGCCGCGUGACAGUGAGCAAUAACAGGUCUGUGAUGCCCUUAGAUGUCCUGGGCCGCACGCGCGCUACACUGAAGGAAUCAGCGUGUUUCAAUCUCCCUGUCCGAAAGGACCGGGUAACCGCUGAACCUCCUUCGUGG
rnacentral:rRNA from 1 species